rnacentral:lncRNA from 1 species
UUUUUUUUUUUUUUUUUUACAAAACUACACUAAAAUGGGAUGCCUAGAUUACAUAAACUUAAAACUUACUAGAGCCCUUGAAAAUUUUAUUCAAUACUUUGUUGACUGAGCAAUCACCCAAAAGGCUUCCCAUCUACCAGAAGGGACAUGUAGACGAAUAUCACAUAAUUAGCUGAUGAUUAAAUUAUUUGGCAGCCCAUGAAUGUUCAGUUUGAUUUAGCAAAGGUCAAGCAAAACACAGUUGUAGUGUCUGAAAUAUCUAUUCUUGAGGGAGAAAAUGGACACAUAGAUUAUAUGUAAAAUAAUUAAAACUUAUGGAGUAAAAAGACACUAUUUCUUUGUAGUAACGUAUUAGUAGCAGAUUGCUUUUUAAAUUUUUUUUCUGUUUGUAAAAGAACUUUACAUUCAUUUUUGGAAAAUUCAGGAUUAUAUAAAGGUGCUAAGAAGAAAAUAAAAAUCACCUAAUAAAAAAUUUUACCACCUAGUGAAAAACCAUAGUCAACACUUGAGUAGUCUUUCUCUUUUUUCAAGGCCUUUAUAUUCUAAUGACUUUUUUAAAGUUAGAAUCCUACUGUUUAAUACAAAAAAGAAUAAUAAAAUUGUACAAAGUAAUGCGUAUAUUGGUUAAAAGUCAGAUAGCAUUUGAAGUCAUAAAAUUACAAAAAAAAAAAAAUAGUCCCCACCUUAGCCCUAAUUCUUGUUCUCCAGAGCAACCACUUAUACCUUUUUUUAGCUGAUUAUCAUAUUUAUAGUUAUGUUUCUAAGUAUACUUUUAUUGUCACUUCAUGAAUGGCCCAGAAUGAGUAUAGAAUAGGAAGUCAACAAUUCAUUUAAAUAUUUCUUUAUUAUGAAGCAUUUAGGAUGUCGGAAAGUUUUGCUAUUGUGGGUAAUAUGACAGCUAACAUCCCUUCUAGACACACACAUGCUGUACACCUCUCUCCUGUUGUUUAGAAUGAAUUUCUUGGAGUGCAAUUGCCAAAUCAAAAUUGCCCAAUUGCCAUAAAAAACAGUUUGCAUUCAGCAUUCUUUCCAGAGUUAAUUUUAUGUGGUUAAAUAUGUUGAUAUUUCUUGCCUAAUUUCUUUGUUGUUAUGCUUAGGAGGGAAAACUUCUCCACCCCAAGAUCAAAUAAACACACACCUCAGUUUCCUUCUAGGUGUCCUGUGGUUUCGUAGUUUAUACUAAAGUCUUUGAUCUAGCUGAAGUUUAUUUUGGCCUCUAAUAAGAUACAGGAGUCUAUUUUUCUUUCCAAAAUAUUAUGCCCUUUCUCCACAACUCUUCAAUGACUAGUCCUUUCUUUUCCCACUGAUUCGAAAUGUUGCCAUUACCAUCGAUUAAGUUCUUGUAUAUUCUGGUACUCGUUUUGAAAUGAAGUAAUGGUGGUGGUGGGCAGGGAGUUGAAUUAAUGUGAUUGUCUGUUCUUUCACCAGUACCAAGCUGUUUAAGUUAAUAAACACAGUAGAGUUUGAUAC